rnacentral:rRNA from 1 species
GCAGGGGAUCGCAAGACCUUGCGCUGAUUGAGCGGCCGAUAUCAGAUUAGCUAGUUGGUGGGGUAAAAGCUCACCAAGGCGACGAUCUGUAGCGGGUCUGAGAGGAUGAUCCGCCACACUGGAACUGAGACACGGUCCAGACUCCUACGGGAGGCAGCAGUGGGGAAUUUUGGACAAUGGGGGCAACCCUGAUCCAGCCAUGCCGCGUGAGUGAAGAAGGCCUUCGGGUUGUAAAGCUCUUUCGGCCGGGAAAAAAUCGCAUGGGUUAAUACCCUGUGUGGAUGAUGGUACCGGAAUAAGAAGCACCGGCUAACUACGUGCCAGCAGCCGCGGUAAUACGUAGGGUGCGAGCGUUAAUCGGAAUUACUGGGCGUAAAGCGUGCGCAGGCGGUUUUGUAAGACAGGCGUGAAAUCCCCGGGCUCAACCUGGGAACUGCGCUUGUGACUGCAAGGCUAGAGUAUGGCAGAGGGGGGUGGAAUUCCACGUGUAGCAGUGAAAUGCGUAGAGAUGUGGAGGAACACCAAUGGCGAAGGCAGCCCCCUGGGCCAAUACUGACGCUCAUGCACGAAAGCGUGGGUAGCAAACAGGAUUAGAUACCCUGGUAGUCCACGCCCUAAACGAUGUCAACUAGGUGUUGGGAGGGUAAAACCUUUUAGUACCGGAGCUAACGCGUGAAGUUGACCGCCUGGGGAGUACGGCCGCAAGGUUAAAACUCAAAGGAAUUGACGGGGACCCGCACAAGCGGUGGAUGAUGUGGAUUAAUUCGAUGCAACGCGAAAAACCUUACCUACCCUUGACAUGUCCAGGAGCCUGAAGAGAUUUGGGUGUGCCCGAAAGGGAACUGGAACACAGGUGCUGCAUGGCUGUCGUCAGCUCGUGUCGUGAGAUGUUGGGUUAAGUCCCGCAACGAGCGCAACCCUUGUCGUUAAUUGCCAUCAUUCAGUUGGGCACUUUAACGAGACUGCCGGUGACAAACCGGAGGAAGGUGGGGAUGACGUCAAGUCCUCAUGGCCCUUAUGGGUAGGGCUUCACACGUCAUACAAUGGUCGGUACAAAGGGUUGCCAACCCGCGAGGGGGAGCCAAUCCCAGAAAGCCGAUCGUAGUCCGGAUUGCAGGCUGCAACUCGCCUGCAUGAAGUCGGAAUCGCUAGUAAUCGUGGAUCAGCAUGUCACGGUGAAUACGUUCCCGGGUCUUGUACACACCGCCCGUCACACCAUGGGAGCGGGUUCCGCCAGAAGUAGGUAGCCUAACCGCAAGGGGGGCGCUUACCACGGCGGGGUUCGUGACUGGGGUGAAGUCGGAACAAGGUA